rnacentral:rRNA from 1 species
UACGUAGGUGGCAAGUGUUGUCCGGAAUUAUUGGGCGUAAAGCGCGCGCAGGCGGUCCUUUAAGUCUGAUGUGAAAGCCCACGGCUCAACCGUGGAGGGUCAUUGGAAACUGGGGGACUUGAGUACAGAAGAGAAGAGUGGAAUUCCACGUGUAGCGGUGAAAUGCGUAGAGAUGUGGAGGAACACCAGUGGCGAAGGCGACUCUUUGGUCUGUAACUGACGCUGAGGCGCGAAAGCGUGGGGAGCAAACAGG